CGGUGAGGUAGAGGCGCGAAUGCGAUAAUUACCUUUUUUGAGGAUGACAACGUGGAGAAAAAGGGAAAGGCAAGUUCGCCGAAGUGUAUAAAGUUCGUCAAGACUUCAUAUGCUGGGACUGUAUCGAAUAGAUGCAGCACUGUCACAGUUGUAAGACUGUGGAGAACUACUGCUGAA
rnacentral:ncRNA from 2 species